UACAGAGACUGCAAGCGUUAUUCGGAUUCACUGGGCGUAAAGGGUGCGCAGGCGGCCGGGUGUGUCAGAUGUGAAAUCCCGAGGCUCAACCUCGGAACUGCGUCUGAAACUACUCGGCUAGAGUACUGGAGAGGGUAACGGAAUUCACGGUGUAGCAGUGAAAUGCGUAGAUAUCGUGAGGAACACCAGUGGCGAAGGCGGCUCACUGGCCCGAUACUGACGCUGAGGUGCGAAAGCGUGGGGAGCAAACAGG
rnacentral:rRNA from 1 species